rnacentral:misc_RNA from 1 species
GUAGGUGAACCUGCGGAGGGAUCAUUACCAAAGAUGGCGGGCCUCCGCGCCCCCGUCCCCAACCCAUUGUUGACCAAAACCCUUUUGCCUCGGGGGCAGAGCGUCCGCCGCCGCCCCCGGAGGACCAUUUAACGCUGUCUCUUUGCGUCGGAGUAUUGAUUAAAUGAAUGAAAACUUUCAACAACGGAUCUCUUGGUUCUG